AGGUUUCCAGGCCGUGAUGAAGGAAUGCGUCACCAGUGGAUAAAAAACAUCAACAGAAAGGACUUUAAAGUUAAGAAAGAUAGUGUGGUGUGUGGGAUUCAUUUUCCUGACGGUAAACCGACGGAGGCACAUCCAUACCCAGUUCUUCAUAUGGGAUAUGAUCCACAUAAGGGGUUAUCAACUGGUAGAGCACCUCCAAAGAGGAGAUGUCUUCAACAAGAAAGCGAGACCAGUACUUCUAAAUAGGAACAUGGACAUGUAAAAACAUCUCAAGAAGUUGAAGAUGAAGAAGAAAAUGAAGAAGUACAGCCUCCAGAAGAUAACAUCACAGUGGAAAUUCCAAACAGUGUCAAGACAUGCGAUGCAGCUGUUCAAUGGCCAAUGACUGGAGAUCACAGCUAUGGCAGUACUAUAAAGCUAACAUCUUCUGCUA